UGGAACGUGCAUUACAAGCUAUCUGAGUAAAUGUACAUCUAUUAACAUCAAACCUUAAGGAUCCCUAGAGGGCCACCUAUAAGACUUAACUCCAUCAUCAAUCGACAUGAGAUAGUAUUUAUUGGUGUGAUGAAAGUAUAUCUUAAAUUGAGAGAGAGAGAGAGGGAGAGAGAGAGAGAGAGGACCUGCGACACUUACACCAGAGAUAUAGGAUUAAAGGGCGUUGAGCCUUUUAGAGACAUAGGCCUUUGCAAAAUACAAGUAGGAGGCUAAGCCAAUGAAGCUGAAACAAGCAAGUAGCCAGUAAAAGUAAUCCAGAUGAGCCUGGUUCAGGUUGUUUGCAAACCAACUCACUUGACCAGAUUGGCUCGUCGCUUUCUCAAUGACUGAUAUCAUGAAACUGCUGAGAAAGCUACCAAUACCGAAUAUGCUUAAAUACAGAGCCAAUCCCACGCUCCUCAGCUCGCUCGGGACCUGGUCGUAGAAGAACUCUUGAAGACCCACCAUCG
rnacentral:lncRNA from 1 species